rnacentral:lncRNA from 1 species
AAAAUGAAACCAAGGCCACUGCUUGCUGCAUCUGAAAUUUAGAUCAGUCUUGAAUGUGUCUAUGAGAGAACAGUACAAAUUUCCUUGCUGCAUUUCACGAAACAGGUAGCAGAGUGGAAAUUCCUGGGAAUUAUACUUCUUGAUGCAUGAGAUUGUUUAACAAACACGAACUCUCCCCCAGACUUUCGAUUUAAAGAAAAUCAAAGACCUUCCCUCAACUCAAUGAAGUGUUAAUAACACCACGGAGUCCUGAGCCUUCGUCCUGAGCAGCUGCAGGGCUUCCCGCCGCCUGCAGGUGUCGCUGGUGGCUACUGACCCAUCUGCUGCUUGGCAGGUGAUGGGAACAGGAAGAAGUUUGCCCACCUCUGAGAUGAGGAAUAGAUUCCAAUACCCUCCAUCUAGCAAGAAAAAUGAUGAUGGGCACACUGGGAGCAUUUCCUUUUGCACUUGCCUUGUCCUGUUGCUGUUUUAGAGCUAUGUGCUGCGUGCCAUUUGCAGCAAAUUUUCAGGCGGGCAGCAUUUUCUUCAUUCUAUACUCCAAGGAAGAGGAGGGUCAGAGAGGAUAAAUAACCUGCCUCGGAUCUCAGAAUAGGUAAAUGACAGAGACUCCACUGCCUCUGUGAUUUCUCUCGAGGCCCUGGGACCCUCAGAUGGUGAAAGGCAAGAGUCUGCGAACCCCUGGAGGUCUGGAAGCAGGAUUCAUGGAGUUCUUUCCCCAGAGAGGAGCAGUCAGCUCUGAGUCAAUUAGCAGAGCAAUCAUCGGAAAUCAAGUCCCUGACUAAUGAGGUGCCUGAAAUUGAGAUGUCACUUGUAAUCUCUUUUCUCCUAGACGAUCUGGAUUAAGAUUCCAAGGUGUUCCGAGGGCAGUCACUAAAGGCUGGCUGAAGGAGUGAUGCAAACUUUUGAUGGGUGGAAAGCAUACAUUUUAGUGAAGAGGGAAGAAAACACAACCAAGUUCUCCAAAAGCCCAGUAGAAUAAACACAAGCUGCCACUUGGAAAACAAUUCUGAAGAAAAGCCCAUCUGGGGAGAAAAAGUGAGGCAAUCCAAAAAGCCGCCAAGUGACCACAUUUCUGGAACCUUGAUUGGAAACAACGUGUGAACAUUUUACCUGGUGAUGAGCCCUGAGUUUUACAUCAGCCAACAGCCAUGGCAGCAGAUGACAGAAAAAAACGGAAUCUUUUCCAGACUUGGAGAAAGAUAAAUCUGAAAAGGAGUUUUUCCCUAUAGACCAGCUCUGCUUAGGAGAUACUCACUGUGAGUUGUCAGAUCAGGGAACUUUGAGUUCUGGGGCCUGGGAAGUCCAAGAUCAAGAUGCUGGCAGAUUCAGUGUCUGGGUCUUCUAAUGAUAUUUUGUCUUGACUCCGAAAGGGACCCUUAAGGUUGAAGAUUCUGAUAUUCUGACAUAGUAGCAGGUGCAUAUUUAUAAAAAACUUCCCACAGUAUUCCAAAGUAGAUGUGCCAUUUUAUCCUCCAAACAGCAAUGUAUUAGAGUUCCAGUGGUUUCCAAAGCCCCUGUCAACAUUUGGAUUGUCCGUCUUUUUUGAUUUUAGCCAUCCUAAUGGCAAAAGCCAUCUCCCAUGUAACCACAUGCUUCAGGAGAAGCUGACCCUACACCUAGCUCCACUGAAAACCAUAAGAAAGGAAUGUCAUGCCUAUAAUUGCUGCAGCUAUUUUAAUUCCAAGUAUGAGGUUGAAACAAUCAUGGAUGGCCAAGUGAAGAGAUGGAAAAAGCAGGAUUCAGGAUAACUUUAUUUUUUUGGAAGAUGACCAAAAUGCUAUCUCUAUUUGGAGAUAAUAAUUAGUCUCAUCUUCAUUGGCUUCUUCUCGAAUGCGGAGGGAAUUAUCGGAUGAGUACAUUGGAACAUGGUCGCCAUGUGGCCUGCUGCCCCCGUGUACCACUUGGAGACCAGCCUAGCAUGGAAAUGACCAGAUGUUGGAAGCUGAGCUACUGCUCAAGGUAUUAAUGCUUGAAAGAUAUUCCAUGUUUGAAGGGAUUUUUGUGGUGCUGGCCUACAAGUUGACCUUUUUGACGUGAAUAAGAAACAUUCUUCAAAACUGUGGUUGACAUCCAAGCUUGCUGUCAUGUUUUGAACUGCCCUAUGGAGAAAGCAACAUGGCUAAGAAUAUGAGAGAGCCAACAGGACAAUGAGGACCUCAAUACAGCAAGAAACCAAAUCCUGCCAACAACCAUAUAAAGCAACUGUCCAUCAGAAAGAUUGAGUAACUUG